rnacentral:rRNA from 1 species
CUCGUAGGCGGUUUGUCGCGUCUGCUGUGAAAUCCGGAGGCUCAACCUCCGGCCUGCAGUGGGUACGGGCAGACUAGAGUGCGGUAGGGGAGAUUGGAAUUCCUGGUGUAGCGGUGGAAUGCGCAGAUAUCAGGAGGAACACCAAUGGCGAAGGCAGAUCUCUGGGCCGUAACUGACGCUGAGGAGCGAAAGCACGGGGAGCGAACA